rnacentral:rRNA from 1 species
UACGUAGGGGGCAAGCGUUGUCCGGAUUUACUGGGUGUAAAGGGUGCUCAGGUGGUUGUGUAAGUUAGGGGUGAAAUCCUGGGGCUUAACUCCGGAACUGCCCUUGAUACUACACAGCUUGUGUACGGAAGAGGCUGAUGGAAUUCCUGGUGUAGCAGUGAAAUGCGUAGAUAUCAGGAAGAACACCAGUGGCGAAGGCGGUCAGCUGGUCCGUUACAGACACUAAAGCACGAAAGCGUGGGGAGCAAACAGG